UGGUGGAGCGAUUUGUCUGGUCAUUUCCGAUAACGAACGAGACUCUAGCCUACUAAAUAGUUCGGGGACCCCCACAAAGGGGCCCCGCUUCAACUUCUUAGAGGGACAGGUGGCGUUUAGCCACACGAGAUUGAGCAAUAACA
rnacentral:rRNA from 1 species